CUAGUUGGUGAGGUAACGGCCCACCAAGGCGACGACGGGUAGCCGGCCUGAGAGGGCGACCGGCCACACUGGGACUGAGACACGGCCCAGACUCCUACGGGAGGCAGCAGUGGGGAAUAUUGCGCAAUGGGCGAAAGCCUGACGCAGCGACGCCGCGUGGGGGAUGAAUGCCUUCGGGUUGUAAACCCCUUUCAGCAGGGACGAAGCGAAAGUGACGGUACCUGCAGAAGAAGCGCCGGCUAACUACGUGCCAGCAGCCGCGGUAACACGUAGGGCGCGAGCGUUGUCCGGAAUUAUUGGGCGUAAAGAGCUCGUAGGUGGUUUGUUACGUCCGCUGUGAAAACCUAGGGCUUAACCCUGGGCUUGCAGUGGAUACGGGCAGACUAGAGGUAGGUAGGGGAGAAUGGAAUUCCUGGUGUAGCGGUGAAAUGCGCAGAUAUCAGGAGGAACACCGGUGGCGAAGGCGGUUCUCUGGGCCUUACCUGACACUGAGGAGCGAAAGCGUGGGGAGCGAACAGGAUUAGAUACCCUGGUAGUCCACGCCGUAAACGUUGGGCGCUAGGUGUGGGGUCCUUCCACGGAUUCCGUGCCGCAGCUAACGCAUUAAGCGCCCCGCCUGGGGAGUACGGCCGCAAGGCUAAAACUCAAAGGAAUUGACG
rnacentral:rRNA from 1 species